CAAAGAAUAGUUUAAUUUAGAAUUUUAGCUUUGGGAGCUAGAGAUGGGAGUUAGAAUCUCCCUUCUUUGA
rnacentral:tRNA from 1 species